rnacentral:tRNA from 1 species
GGGGAUGUGGCGAAAUUGGCAGACGCGCAUGACUUAGGAUCAUGUGCCGCAAGGCAUAAGGGUUCAAGUCCCUUCAUCCCCACCA